GCCACGUACAGUGGCGGAGCUCCAAAAAGUCCGACUCGGAUCGGGGCGAGCUCAGCUACUGUCUGCCUGCCUGCCUGCCUGCCUGCCUGCCUGCUGCCAUGCUCUCUGAUAUGACAGACUCUGUCUCAAACACUUACAAAUUUUGAGUCAGCCAAGCUUUAACCCCUUCAUCCCUGGAUAUAAAUACUAGACAUGUAGACGGUUUUAAAUGCCUGCAUGUGCUGGUUACACAAACGUCAAUGUACCUGGGAAGAGGAGCCUUAUCUGAGAAAAGCCUCCAUCAGAUUGCCUGUAGGCAAGUCUGUGGGCAUUUUCUUGAUUAAUAAUUGAUGCACGUGGGCCCAGCUCCCUGGAGGUGGCACCACCCGGGCAGGUGAUCCUGGAAAAUAUAAGACAGCUAGCUGAGCAAGCCAGUAAGCAGCAUUCCUCCAUGGCCUCUACUUCAGUUUCUGUCUCCAAAUUCCUCCCUCAAGUUCCUGCCUGGCCUGAAUUCACGGUACACUGUGCUAGGGACAUGUAAGCAAAAUAAACUGCUUUCUUCCAAAAUUGCUUUUUGUCACCAUGUUUUCUUAUAGCAACGGAAACCCAGCUAGGGCACUGUGCCGUGACAGAUUUGUAUAUGUUAGGUUUGGCCCAAGUGGGUGGGCUUUCUCAUUACUGCUAUAACACAAUUCAAUUCCCUCUGUUCAGUGGGCUGUGAGCUGGUUAAACCUUGAAGACUGUCAAGGGAAAAAAAAAAAAACCUAGCUGAGUGCUGUGGCGCAUACCUUUGAUCCCAGCACUCAGGAGGCAGAUGUUUGUGAGUUCAAGGUCAGCCUGCUCUACUGAGCUACUUCCCUGUCAGCCAGAACUACAGAGAAACCUUGUCUCAAAAAGCCAAAACAAAACAAACAACAAAACAUGCCAAUUGUUGUUUGGCCAUUUUGUCUAAGCUCUGAGAUGAGAGUUUAUCAAACCUUCACUGGGAAGUUAACUUUACUGAAAUUAAUGUUUUCCUGUUAAGUUGGCUCAAUUCUUUGCUUCCCCACCCUUUCCAUUUCAAGACCAGACAUAAAAACCAUUCCUGAGAAGACUAGAGUACUUGUAUCUAGCAGAUGGAUGGAAUAAAAGUUAGGGAACCAGACUUCAGCCAUUUACAUAACCCUUCCUGUUAGGGUUGUCAUCUGGGUUUUGUUUUGUUUUUUACAUUUAGUGUGUGUGUGUAUGUGUGUGUGUGAGAAGACAGCUUUUAGAAGCUGGUUUUCUUAUCCAAGAAUCAAACUCUGAGCAGCAAGUGCCUUUACCCGAUUAGCCUACUUGCCUUCCUGGAUAUAUCUAUUUUGGAAUCUGAUAUAAUCUAUUUUUCCCAGAAAAAAUAUUCACUGAGCUUUAUAAGCAAUUACUAAAUAGAUUUGGAUGGUGUCUUAGUUACUAUUGCUGUGAUGAAACACCACAACCAAAAGCAGCUUGGGGAGGAAGGGUUUGGCUUACUCUUCCAUAUCAUGGUUCACCUUUGAAGGAGUCAGGGCAGGAACUCAAGCAGGGCAGGAACCUGGAGCCAGAAGCUG